UAAGCGGAGGAAAAGAAACUAACGAGGAUUCCCCUAGUAACUGCGAGUGAAGCGGGAAAAGCUCAAAUUUAAAAUCUGGUGNUCUUUGGCCAUCCGAGUUGUAAUUUAGAGAAGCGUCUUNCGCGCUGGACCGUGCACAAGUCUCCUGGAAUGGAGCGUCAUAGAGGGUGAGAAUCCCGUCUUUGGCACGGACCCCAGGGCUUCUGUGAUGCGCUCUCGAAGAGUCGAGUUGUUUGGGAAUGCAGCUCAAAAUGGGUGGUGAACUCCAUCUAAAGCUAAAUAUUGGCGAGAGACCGAUAGCGAACAAGUACCGUGAGGGAAAGAUGAAAAGCACUUUGGAAAGAGAGUGAAACAGUACGUGAAAUUGUUGAAAGGGAAACGCUUGAAGUCAGUCGCGUCGACCGAGACUCAACCUCGCCUCGGCUUGGUGUACUUCUCGGCCGACGGGUCAGCAUCAACCUCGAUCCUCGGAUAAUGGCGAGGGAAAGGUGGCACCCUUGCGGGUGUGUUAUAGUCCCCUGUCGCAUGCGAGGGUCAGGAUUGAGGAACUCAGCGCGCGCCUCUCGGUGUCGGAGCGUUUCACGCUCACGUCACGCGCUUAGGAUGCUGGCGUUAAUGGCUUUAAACGACC
rnacentral:rRNA from 1 species